UGUGACAUUACAGGAUUUCUUGCUGGACUAAAAAGUCAACAACUACUGUAUUUGAAACCUGAACUCAAAAACACAAUAAGAAAGUUACUGUUAUGACUAUCACGACCUUUUAGGUGGAACCUUUCUUCUAAAAAAAAACAGAUUUCUAACAAUGGCUAUAUGGGUCAGGUCGAAAUCUGUUUUUCCACCAGAAAUGAGUCACAUUUUUUUAGUGUGGCCCUAAUAUUCAUAGUAAAGGGAGGAAAAGGUGGAACGGACAGGAAGAGACGUGUGAGAGCCCCCCGUUGGAGUUGGCUGGAAGCUACUCCCUGGUUCAUGGAGGAUGAUCACCAGACAUGCAGUGCCAUUAUGAUUCUGAGGGGUGGAUGCUGUCAUUGAUGCCACUGUGGAUCAUAAGAGGCAUGAUGUCCAGAGGUUUGACGUGGGCCUUGUGGACAAAACCAGUACAGCCAGUUGAGGAGUGUUUUCCAAUGAAGACGCCCAAGCCUCUUACAAGUAGACCUUGGAUCUCCACAGUGUCACCUUGACUCAAUUGGAGCUCAUCUUGGUCCAUUGGAAUGUAGUCGACCACAGCGGCGCACAAACCUGUCACUGGGAUGUUUGACAGAUAAAAUAUACUCAUUUCAGGCAUUUCAGGUUAUUAUGCAAGUCAAACGAUUGCAGUAUAAAUAAUGCAACGGAACACAAUAAAUACUAAAAGCCUUUCUGAAAUAUAAUUGAUCAUACUUAGACUGUACGGUAAAUCCCUGCUUAAUGCUCGGUUACAUUCAAAGACCAUCAGUGAAUGGUGAAAAACAGUCAGUAAUUUAAAUGCCCAUAAAAUGUCUAUUUUUUAAACACGGUAAUAAAAGAAAUGACUUAGAUUAGAUUCAGUUCCAGACCCCGCCCCUCCUCUCUUCAAUUGCCAUAGUCAGUUCACAACUGAACCAAAGAUUUUCAGUUGUAACUGUUGAGUUGCAUUGUAAGAGUAUGUUUCUACCAAAUGGAUGUUCAAACGGUUCCUUUUCGGUUGGUGAGCACCCCGCAUACCCCGGGUAGUUCUUCAGGAACCAUCUGAUUGAAGGAGAAAGUGGUCAGCGCUUGUUAAGAUCAUAUAGACUAUCAUUGUAAAGAAACACACUAGUCGUGAAAAUGUCUCACUGGUAGAAAGGGUAGGGCAAUGGCUGAGUGCAAUCAACAGGCACCAGUCCGUGGUGUCCAGUGGAGAGCAGGGUGCCCUCCCACAUGUCCUCCUGUCCCGUGUCCUUUACCAUCAGCAGGUCGUUCUUUUUGAAAGACAGCUGUUCUUCGUCAUCCUCCUCAACUCUUGUAUAGACUGCUUUAGCAAAGAAGGAUCCUGCAACAAUGUAUAUCAUUAGUAAACUAAUUAGCUCACUCACAGAACUAGCUUUAGAUACCAUUUCCACUAAUAUAUACGAUACAUAGUGUUUUAAUUCCGUUGCGGUUUAUAAAAUCUUUUUAUCGACAUUUGAGAUCAGCAAAACCGCUGCUGCACUUUGAUUUCUGCUCAGGAAAUGAUGGAUGUUGGAUACCAUUCAGUUAAUGUAUCUCAUCAAAGUUUGGCCGCACUGCAGUCUUAUUUUGCCAAAGUAUACGUUUAAAUGGUGAUAUCUGUUUUAAUAUGCAUCGCUGAGGGUAACAGGGAAGUCGCGUUGCUGCAAAAUCAAACUUUUAGAACAGUUAUUAAGCAAAGAUAUUUUAAUGUGGGCACUUUUCAGUUUAAACGCCGUCAUGAAAUGCUGAGUGUAAGCAAUUUCUUUUCUUUAGUUUUUUGGUCCCAGUUCUUGGGACCGCGUUACUGUCGGAGACGUGCAAGUCUUUAUAGCAGUUAUGGCGACCCUGUACGGAGUGAAAGUAAGAGUUAAGCUUGUGUACAAAUAUGUUAUGCUUGUGUGAGUGACAACAAUGUAUCUAUUGUGUCUAUUGUAGGUAUAUCUGAUGUAGCCCUUUAUUCUUGUCACUUAUACAGAAGUACAAGCGAAAUAUUUAAAGUACUAAUCCCACCAAGUAAUAGAUUUAACAAGUUGAAUAGGUUAAUUCAUUGGAUUUUACCAAUUCACCCAUCUACAGUGUUAAUAAUCCAUCCAUUUUCUAUGCCGCUUAUCCUCAUUAAGGUCGCACGGGUAUGCUGGAGCCUAUCCCAGCUGACUUCAGGGGAGAGGCGGGGUACACCCUGGACUGGUCGUCAGCCAAUCGCAGUUAAUAAUCAAAUAUAUCCUGGUUAUCAACUGCAUUUAACCAAGUUUAUACCAAGCAUUCCUUACCUUCCUGAAGUAAAAGUGCCAAGUAGAGGGUAGCCAGCUGAUCCUCAUCCACCGUUACGUUUAUCUCCAAGUCACUGAGCAGUUUUGGGUCCAACCAGAAGGACUGAUCAAAGAGGAAGUUCUCCAAGCAGCGAGCAACAUAGCCUGCCAUUUAGUAGACAAGUUAAAAAGAAGUACCGAUCAUAUUAUACGAAAACAAUCAACAUCAAUAUAGUAAACUAAUUGAAUCUUACCUAAUGCUAAAUAUGUUGAAAACUUCCAGAUUUCUUCCACAGUUUUGAAUGUGAGAACAAAGCUGUCUUUCUCUGCAUGGACAGACACCAGACGUGCAGACAUGUCCUACAAGAACAUUGUUCUUAGUAGAAAAUAACAUUUCACAGCCCCUUAUGUAAUAUCGUGCUCGUUAUCACUCAUCAUGUCUGAUUUUCACUCACUUUAAAUAACUGGAUGACAUCCUUACUGUUGCUCUCCACUACUCGGAGUUGAGUGCGAAGGGACUCCUGGAGCGCCAGGUCCGGAUCCUCACUGGAGCGUCGCCGUCCAGUAAAAAAGAGAAUAAUUUCUAGACAAAAUAAAUCAUAUCAAAUUUGAUUUUAGAAAUAAAAUCUUUUCCAAACAGAUAAGGCAAGGAAAGUGUAUUUAUACAGCACUAUUCAAGAAUGAAAGGGUUUUGACUGCCUGCAAGCAUAAAGGGAAACUUUUAAAAGUUCAUUAAAGAUUUUCUAUAGUAGCUCAUAUUACAGUGAAAUGCUUUGUGAGAACCAUCUUAGUCCCUAGAGGAAUAACAACGCUAUUAACACUGCUGACUGGACUCUCAGUGGCCAUUAAAAGCCAUUUGAAGAGAAGAACUUCAGGCAACGGGUGUGAUGGAGCUAAGCUGCUGAGUAGGUAAAUGUGUCAGUCGGUAUGCAUGACCAAAUAUGGUCAGGCGAUCAACUAAGACGUAAAGCACCACAAACUGAUACCUGAGGAGAAUUUAUCUUCCAGUGUCACUCGACUUCCUCGAAGGAAGGCUGCUUUCCUCUUCCAGUCGUGUCCUGGCUCCAGGACACCUUCAUCUGACUCCACCAGGGGUCCGUCAUCAUCCUCGCCUGCUCCUAAAGUGGACCAUAUUACUAGAUAACGGAUGCUUUGUUCUUUUUAUACUACAUAGGCAAAUACUAUGAGACGUGUCCAUCCAUCCAUUUUCUAUACCGCUUAUCCUCACAAGGGUUGUGGGCAUGCUGGAGUCUAUCACAGCUGUCUUCUAGCAAGAGGCGGGGUUCAAACAACCAUGGACAAUUCACUAAAUCAAUUUAUGGGUCAGGGUCAGUUGAGUUAAUUCCACUUGAAUUUAUAUAUUUUUCACAUUUUGGUCAAAAAUUGUGAGCCAAGUCCAACAUUAGUGAGGUUUGUGACUUUUAGACACAAUCUAUUUGCAGCUCCUGAAGGUGUUGUCCAAAGAGUAUAUAUUUUAAUCCUAGUCCAAUACCUGUUUCCUAAACUGCAUUUUAGCCGUUUGUCUGAUAAAGACAUAGGUGUGGAAACAAUCUUAUCAGGGGGGGUCAUCAACAGUGCUGUUCCAAGUAUGCAGCAAUUACAUUACAAAGGUUGCCCUGGUAGAUUUAAUACACGACACAAGUUCUUGUUGUUCAGAAAGGAUAUGAUUAAAGCCACGUCUAUAACACUACGAUCCAUUUGAAUAUGUCUUCUGAACACCUUAUAUUUGUAUUUUAGUUCAUUUAGCCAUUGGAAUGCUGAAGAAUGCAUACUUUUUGACUAAUAACAGGCCGUCCGUAUAAAACCAUGGAACAGCAUAAGUUAUUAAUUAAUAUAUUUUUGAAAACCUGUUACAGAGUGAUGCCCGAAAUUUGUCGUGGUUGUUUGGUACAAAAUAGCUAAAGUGAGAAUAACAAAGAGAAACUUUACAGUAAAGUACACAAAAAUACAGUAGUUACUGAGGAAUUAAUUGAGUUGUGGUUAGGGUUAGGUAGGUUUGUUCCUCAUUAACUACCGUAAAGUUGUGUACGUUAUUGUAAAGUGUUUCCAAGUAAUCUGCAUUCAUAAUUUUACACUAAAAAUAUUGCUUCAUAGUGUCUCAAAAUAGGAGCAAAUGUUAAUCCGUGUUACGGAAUGGAUGGUGCUCAACAUCCGAGGUUCCAUGGUCAUGGUCAGAUCUUAAUGGGGAGGAAACAUAUCACAGUCUGCUGGAGGGACGCAGAUAAUAGUUUGGUCUAAGAGCAAAGUCGAACCUAAAGAGGCUUCUCCUGCUUUGUUCCGCAGGGUAGCAAAGAUGUUUCUUAAGUAGAGUUUUCCAAAGUUAUUAGGGCGAUUCCAUGUUUUGUACCUUCAGUCAUGAUGUCAUUUCCUGAGAAGUGGUCAUUGGUUCCCCCGAGAGUGUAUGGUGGUUCCCUCCACAGGGCAUCCAGCUCAGCGGGAGAGAUGUCUGUGAAGGGGAACAAAUCAGUGCUGAACGCCUCAAAUUCUUCAACGUUUUCAUAUAAACACAAUGUUGCUCCCCAGCCAGCAAGGCAGGAGUAGGGCAAGGGAUUCUAAAUGCAAAAUGUUAGUACAGGGGAUUUGGGCAAGGGACUGAGCGCACACAUGGACCUGGCAAAGACACACACACACACACAAAGUGACGUCAGAUAAUCCUCCAAAAGCAGUCAGUUAACCUGCACCUGACUCCUGAGUGUGCACAAGUUUUUUAGACAUACAAUGAACGAAAUACAGUAACGACUGCACUUUCCUUCUUUUUCAACAUGCUGUGUCAGUGCUAAUGCAUCCUGCAAAGCGUUCAAAAAGAAACAAUAGAGCACACAACUUGGCCAAACAAUGCAACAUGACAUGACGUCGGAAAGGACAAGAGCCCAUUCUCUUCCAUCCCGGGACGCAAAACACAGCACUAACAGGAGCACUCGGCUCAGGCUCGCAUACUCACAUGCUUCUACAACACAGACACAUACAAUGACCUUUUGUCGUUACCUUCUUGGCUUAGUGUGUUACCCA